rnacentral:rRNA from 1 species
UAACGCGUGAAGAACUUGCCUUACAGCUGGGGACAACUACUAGAAAUGGUAGCUAAUACCCGAUACGAUAUAUUGGUGGCAUCAUCGAUAUAUGAAAGCUAUAUGCGCUGUAAGAGAGCUUCGCGUCCCAUUAGCUAGUUGGUGGUGUAAUGGACCACAAAGGCGACGAUGGGUAGCCGGCCUGAGAGGGUGUACGGCCACAAGGGGACUGAGACACGGCCCUUACUCC